rnacentral:rRNA from 1 species
GAUGAACGCUGGCGGCGUGCCUAAUACAUGCAAGUCGAGCGAACAGACGAGGAGCUUGCUCCUCUGACGUUAGCGGCGGACGGGUGAGUAACACGUGGAUAACCUACCUAUAAGACUGGGAUAACUUCGGGAAACCGGAGCUAAUACCGGAUAAUAUAUUGAACCGCAUGGUUCAAUAGUGAAAGACGGUUUUGCUGUCACUUAUAGAUGGAUCCGCGCUGCAUUAGCUAGUUGGUAAGGUAACGGCUUACCAAGGCAACGAUGCGUAGCCGACGUGAGAGGGUGAUCGGCCACACUGGAACUGAGACACGGUCCAGACUCCUACGGGACGCAGCAGUAGGGAAUCUUCCGCAAAGGUCGAAAGCCUGACGGAGCAACGCCGCGUGAGUGAUGAAGGUCUUCGGAUCGUAAAACUCUGUUAUUAGGGAAGAACAAAUGUGUAAGUAACUAUGCACGUCUUGACGGUACCUAAUCAGAAAGCCACGGCUAACUACGUG